UGGUCAGAUGGUCGAGUGGUCUAAGGCACUUGCUUGGAAAGCAAGAGGGUGUAAAAGCUCCGCAGGUUCGAAUCCUGCUCUGACCGU
rnacentral:tRNA from 1 species